GAUGAACGCUGGCGGCGUGCCUAAUACAUGCAAGUCGAGCGAACAGAUGAGGAGCUUGCUCCUCUGACGUUAGCGGCGGACGGGUGAGUAACACGUGGAUAACCUACCUAUAAGACUGGGAUAACUUCGGGAAACCGGAGCUAAUACCGGAUAAUAUAUUGAACCGCAUGGUUCAAUAGUGAAAGACGGUUUUGCUGUCACUUAUAGAUGGAUCCGCGCCGCAUUAGCUAGUUGGUAAGGUAACGGCUUACCAAGGCAACGAUGCGUAGCCGACCUGAGAGGGUGAUCGGCCACACUGGAACUGAGACACGGUCCAGACUCCUACGGGAGGCAGCAGUAGGGAAUCUUCCGCAAUGGGCGAAAGCCUGACGGAGCAACGCCGCGUGAGUGAUGAAGGUCUUCGGAUCGUAAAACUCUGUUAUUAGGAAAGAACAAAUGUGUAAGUAACUAUGCACGUCUUGACGGUACCUAAUCAGAAAGCCACGGCUAACUACGUG
rnacentral:rRNA from 1 species